CAAAUCUGUGUCUGUGCCUGCCCAGGGCCCGUCCCCGGGUGAGUGGCCCCGGCAGGGACUGGGAUCUUCCCGGGCCAUCCCAGCAGGAUUUUCCCUCCCCAUCCCGGCUCCAAGCGAUGCUGCUGAGCCUUCCUGCUCCAGCCGGGCAGGGAGCAGCUCUGGGAGGGCGUUUUCCCUUCCCAAUCCCGCAUUUCCUCAUCCUCUGUGCUGCGAGGAGCCCGGGAAUGGCAGCAGGAGCCGGGAUCCAGUUUGGGAUCCUCCUGGAGCGAUGAUUGCUGGAAUCCAGGGUGGGAACAAACCUCGGGCUCCCUCUCCCUGCGCUCUCCCAGCUUUACCCUCUCUGCGCUUGGAAGUUUUCUGUUCUUUUCCCUCCAAAAGGAGGCACAACCUUGAGGAAAAGGCUCGGGAAAAGCUCGGGAAGGAAGGGCGUUGUCGCAGGCGUUGUUGGAGGAGCGGAUGUUUAACUCCAGGAAUGAAAACAAAACCCCUUGGAGGCGAUCCCGGGGCCUCGAGGGUCCGGAAUCAUCAGGAAUUGGGGCUGGGAAAACGGGAAUGGCAAGAGGGAGAACGCCAGGAGGGAGAAGGAGCCAAAAGCAGAGCUCGGGGCACGGUGGAAGGGUCCUGGCAGGGAAAUAAAAGGCGCAGCUUUAUCCCUCCGAGCUGCCAGAGGCUUGGGAAGCGGCGGCUGGGAAAGGAGCAGGGUGGGAGACAGCAGAGCCCGGCCGGGGAUCGGGAGGGAUCGGAGGAACGGGACAAUCCCGAGCCUUUGGCACAGGGAAAUCACUGCAGGAUCCCCUCGGUUCCCGCUGAUGCUCCCAGGCCGGGCCCGGGCAGCAGCUCCGGCUCCUGGGAUUUUGACUCCGGAGGUUUUGGCUCCCAGGGUUUUGAUUCCGGAGGUUUUGACUCCCGGGGCUUUGAUUCUGGAGGUUUUGGCCCCCGGGGUUUUGACUCCGGAGGUUUUGACUCCAGGGAUUUUGGCUCCCGGGGAUUUUGGCUCCCGGGAUUUUAAUUCCCGAACGCUCCUCACCCCACAAACCCUCCCUGCCCGCUGUACCCGGCCCUCUCCAGCUCCUUUCCAGGGAAUUCCCAGGGAUGUUCCCGGGAUUGUUCCUGCUGGUGGCUCUGGCUCUGCUCAGCCCGAACCCCCCUGGGUGCCAGCAGGGCUCAGCUCCAUCCUCAUCCUCAUCCUCCUGCAUCUCUCGUUAUUCCCACUCUGGCAGCAGGGACGGGAGCUCUGGAAGAAACUGGGAAUUUCAUUUAUUUCAGGGUUUUUUUGUUUGUUUUUCUGGGGGGGAGAGGUUGGUGUUUGUUUUUUGUUUUUGUUGUUGGUUUUUUUUAGAUUGUGGGUUUUUGUUUUAUUUGGGUUUUUUGUUAUUUUUUUUGUUUGGUUUUCUUGUUGUUUGGGGUAUUUUUUUUAAUUUGAAAAGUCCACUCGGCAGGAAAAAGGGCCAGAAAUGCAUCUCAGAGGAAAAAAAACCCCAAAUUCAUGUCCAGCUGGAGCUGGAGGGAGAACAGAGCUUGGCAGGACAGAAUUCUCUGGAAUUCCAGAGCCUCCUCCUCCUCUGGAAGUGGCUCGGGAUGUUCUCUGGCUCUCAUGGAUUCAGCCACUCGCUUUUAUGGAUUCCCUGAAAAGCUGGAGCAGCAAAACCCCCCUGGCUUCUGCCUGGAGCUGAAACUGUGGAGCAACACCUGGAAAUUCCCAAACCGUGGCUUGCAACACCUGAAUUUUCCUUUCUCACCCCAUCCAGGUGCUGAGAGCUGCUCUUCUUCCCACGUGGAAUAAUCUGGGAGCCCCCAAAUCUGCAGGGUGAGCCCAUUCCUGAUCCCUUUAUUAAAUUAUUCCUGGAGCAUCAGCAGGUGCUCCCAGGCACCAGAACAGGCCAGAAAAGUUCUUUUUUUUCUGUUUUUUUGGUUUUUCCACGUGUCCUGGGGAAGCUCAGAGCAGGGCCCACGUGCAGGGGAGGUUUUUAUUAAUUAUGGUGGAACAGCUCCGAGAAACAACCGCGGUUUCCAUGGAAGCAGCGGUGACAAUGUCACCCCGCUCUCGAGAUGCUCUGGGUGCUCCCAACAAUUCCCUUCCUUUUUUGAGGCAGAUGAUGGGAAAACAUUCCCAAGGGAUAAACUCGGUGUCCUCUCAUCCCAAUUUUGUGCCCAGAGGGGGCUGUGGGUGAAGCUGAUCCAGGAUGGGAUUUGGGAAUGUUGGAUUUUGGGAAUUCUGGUGAGCCUGGAGGUGCUGGAGGAGGGGUAAAGCUCAGGAAGCUGCCCUGGAAUAAAUUGGGAUCCUGUCCAGGAGGGGGAAUGGGAGAGCAGGAGAAUUGCUAAUGCUGCUUUAAUGAAUGAAAAAAUUUAAAUUAAAAAAAUUAAAUUAUUAAAAAAAAUUAUUAUCAUUAGUAUUAUUAUUAAUAAUAAUUAAAUUAUUAUUUAAAUUAUUGAAGAGCAGCAAUAGAUAAUAAAACUCUGGGAGCUGAGUUCUCCCUGCUCCUUCCAGCCCUCUGUGCCAGGCAAAGGUGACCUUUUAACCUUAUUAUUAUUAUUAUUAUUAUUAUUAUUAUUAUUAUUAUUACUAUUAUUAUUAGUAUCA